rnacentral:rRNA from 1 species
GACGAACGCUGGCGGCGUGCUUAACACAUGCAAGUCGAACGGAAAGGCCCCUUUGGGGGUACUCGAGUGGCGAACGGGUGAGUAACACGUGAGUAACCUGCCCUUGACUUCGGGAUAACUUCAGGAAACUGGGGCUAAUACCGGAUAGGAAUCCUUGCUGCAUGGUGGGGGGUGGAAAGCUUCGGCGGUUUUGGAUGGACUCGCGGCUUAUCAGCUUGUUGGUGGGGUAGUGGCUUACCAAGGCUUUGACGGGUAGCCGGCCUGAGAGGGCGACCGGCCACAUUGGGACUGAGAUACGGCCCAGACUCCUACGGGAGGCAGCAGUGGGGAAUAUUGCACAAUGGGCGGAAGCCUGAUGCAGCAACGCCGCGUGCGGGAUGACGGCCUUCGGGUUGUAAACCGCUUUCAGCAGGGGCGAAGCUUGUGGUGACGGUACCUGCAGAAGAAGCACCGGCUAACUACGUG